UACAGAGGUCUCAAGCGUUGUUCGGAUUCAUUGGGCGUAAAGGGCGCGUAGGCGGCCACUGCAAGUCAGUUGUGAAAUCUCCGGGCUUAACUCGGAAAGGUCAACUGAUACUGCAGGGCUAGAGUGCAGAAGGGGCAACUGGAAUUCUCGGUGUAGCGGUGAAAUGCGUAGAUAUCGAGAGGAACACCUGCGGCGAAGGCGGGUUGCUGGGCUGACACUGACGCUGAAGCGCGAAAGCCAGGGGAGCGAACGGG
rnacentral:rRNA from 1 species